rnacentral:lncRNA from 1 species
AGUGACUCGGGCUUUUUCUUGCACAGCCCAGACCAUCAGACUACCAUUGUUCUUCUCUCUUAGCGUUGCCAGAUAAAAUACAGGAUUACCCACUUAAAUGUUAUUUCAGAUAAAAAACAAAUGAUUGGGAUAAUUAUGUCCCAAGUGUUGCUUUGGUAAAUAUGACAACCCUAUCUUGUCUGCCAUUCGAUUCCUUUCUUGUCUCCAACUCAAUGCCAUGCUCCACUCUGCAUAACUCUCAUUCUCCCUGUGCAUUAACGUUGAGGAUUAAAGUACAGACAAGUUUUCCCCUGGAGAAGGCUUCACAAGUGAGAGUCGCCGCCUUCAUUGUAAAACCUUUUAUUUUCCUGAUUUGCCUUUGGUCUUUUGCUGUUGGGACAAGGAGCUCUCGGGGUACACACAUAUUUCAUUCCAUUAAUUUGCCUCCUUGUAGCUCUUCCCUUUGGUUUCUUCAGAGUCCCUUAUUUAAAAACUGCUAGGUGGAUGGUAAGUGAACAUGUUAUAUAGUAAACUGCAUAUUUAAAGACACAUUUGUAUUAUUUUGUCAGCACUAUAAUCAAACCAAAUACCAUGGAAAUAUGUUUACAAGUAUCUGGGUGGGAAACAAUUUCCAAAUAUAAAUGCUACUUGAAAACCUGGAGUCAAGAAGGUACAAUUUCAUUAAUGCAUUCUCAAAAAUCUCUCCUUAAACACUUCUCUCUCUCUCUCUCUCUCCCUCUCUCUCUCCCACUCUCUCUCUUUCUCUCUCUCUCUCUCCCUUCUCUUUAUAAAGGCCUGGCUACUGUGGAACUUGGAACUUGCUAUGCAAACCAGGCUAGCCUCAAAUUCCAAUGUCCCCCUGUCCUUGCCUCUGGAUUGCUGGAAUUAAAAGCAGGCAUAACUACACCAGGCUCAUUUUCAAACCUUUUACACAAGGCAGGUAAGUAAUCUUGAAUUAAUUCUGUAGAAGCAUUAUAAACUAAUGAGAGAUGUCAUG